GACGAACGCUGGCGGCGUGCUUAACACAUGCAAGUCGAACGGAAAGGCCCUUCGGGGUACUCGAGUGGCGAACGGGUGAGUAACACGUGGGUGAUCUGCCCUACACUUUGGGAUAAGCCUGGGAAACGGGGUCUAAUACCGAAAAGGACCACGCGCUUCAUAGUGUGUGGUGGCAAGCUUUUGCGGUGUGGGAUGGGCCCGCGGCCUAUCAGCUUGUUGGUGGGGUAAUGGCCUACCAAGGCGACGACGGGUAGCCGGCCUGAGAGGGUGACCGGCCACACUGGGACUGAGAUACGGCCCAGACUGCUACGGGAGGCAGCAGUGGGGAAUAUUGCACCAUGGGCGCAAGCCUGAUGCAGCGACGCCGCGUGUGGGAUGACGGCCUUCGGGUUAUAAACCGCUUUCAAUAGGGACGAAGCGCAAGUGACGGUACCUAUAGAAAAAGCAACGGCCAACUACGUG
rnacentral:rRNA from 1 species